UACGAAGGGUGCGAGCGUUGUCCGGAAUUAUUGGGCGUAAAGGGCGCGUAGGCGGCUAGAUGUGUCAAAGGUGAAAUCCCUCGGCUCAACUGAGGAACUGCCUUUGAAACUGUCUGGCUUGAGGCCGGGAGAGGGUAGCGGAAUUCCCAGUGUAGCGGUGAAAUGCGUAGAUAUUGGGAGGAACACCAGUGGCAAAGGCGGCUACCUGGACCGGUUCUGACGCUGAGGCGCGAAAGCGUGGGUAGCAAACAGG
rnacentral:rRNA from 1 species